rnacentral:rRNA from 1 species
UGGGGAAUAUUGGACAAUGGGCGAAAGCCUGAUCCAGCCAUGCCGCGUGUGUGAAGAAGGUCUUCGGAUUGUAAAGCACUUUAAGUCGGGAGGAAGGGUUGUAGGUUAAUACCUUGCAGCCUUGACGUUACCGACAGAAUAAGCACCGGCUAACUUCGUGCCAGCAGCCGCGGUAAUACGUAGGUGGCAAGCGUUGUCCGGAUUUACUGGGCGUAAAGGGCGUGCAGGCGGUCUGUUAAGUCUAGGGUGAAAGCUCCCGGCUCAACUGGGAGAGGUCCUUGGAUACUGGCGGACUUGAGGGAUGCAGAGGAAAGUGGAAUUCCCGGUGUAGUGGUGAUAUGCGUAGAUAUCGGGAGGAACACCAGUGGUGAAGGCGGCUUUCUGGGCAUUUCCUGACGCUGAGACGCGAAAGCGUGGGGAGCGAACCGGAUUAGAUACCCGGGUAGUCCACGCCGUAAACGAUGGACACUAGGUGUAGGGGGUAUCGACCCCCUCUGUGCCGCAGCUAACG